AACGCACAUUGCGCCCCCUGGUAUUCCGGGGGGCAUGCCUGUCCGAGCGUCAUUGCUGCCCAUCAAGCACGGCUUGUGUGUUGGGUCGUCGUCCCCUCCUCCGGGGGGGGACGGGCCCUAAAGGCAGCGGCGGCACCGCGUCCGAUCCUCGAGCGUAUGGGGCUUUGUCACCCGCUCUGUAGGCCCGGCCGGCGCUUGCCGAACGCAAAACAACCAUUCUUUCCAGGUUGACCUCGGAUCAGGUAGGGAUACCCGCUGAACUUAA
rnacentral:misc_RNA from 1 species